GACGUAGGGCGCGAGCGUUGUCCGGAUUUAUUGGGCGUAAAGAGCUCGUAGGCGGCUUGUUGCGUCGACCGUGAAAACCCGGGGCUCAACUUCGGGCUUGCGGUCGAUACGGGCGGGCUAGAGUUCGGUAGGGGGAGACUGGAAUUCCUGGUGUAGCGGUGAAAUGCGCAGAUAUCAGGAGGAACACCGGUGGCGAAGGCGGGUCUCUGGACAGUUCCUGACACUGAGGCACGAAGGCCAGGGGAGCAAACGGG
rnacentral:rRNA from 1 species